UGGGGAAUAUUGCACAAUGGGCGAAAGCCUGAUGCAGCGACGCCGCGUGGGGGAUGACGGCCUUCGGGUUGUAAACCCCUUUCGGCAGGGGACAAGCCUUCGGGUGAGGGUACCUGCGGAAGAAGCGCCGGCUAACUACGUGCCAGCAGCCGCGGUAAUACGUAGGGCGCGAGCGUUAUCCGGAAUUAUUGGGUUUAAAGGGAGCGCAGGCCGCCCUUAAAGCGUGUUGUGAAAUGCCGCGGCUCAACCGUGGCACUGCAGCGCGAACUGGGGGGCUUAGUGCGCCGGAGGUAGGCGGAAUUCGUGGUGUAGCGGUGAAAUGCUUAGAUAUCACGAAGAACUCCGAUUGCGAAGGCAGCCUACCGUAGCGUUACUGACGCUGAGGCUCGAAGGUGCGGGUAUCGAACAGGAUUAGAUACCC
rnacentral:rRNA from 1 species